AAUAUUUACACAAAACCCCCUAACUCAGAUCGGGAUUCAUAGUCGCGAUCCAAAUUAGGCGGGUAAAUGAAAAAUAGUAAUUGGAUGGGGUUCAUUCCAAUUUCUACACAUCGGUGGGACGGCGGACGGCAAGGCAGCGCUGCUGCCAGCCGGCGUCAUCGGACGCCUCCGUCCGUCGACAGGGCACGCGCAUCUGCGGCUCCGGCGCCGUUGCCGUCGUCCACACGCGCCGCUGCUCCAGCAUCAAGCCGCCGCCUUCAGUUGGCGGUGGCACCCUCGCCUCGACGGCUCGACGCCACCACGGAGAAGAACGAGAGGAAGACGAGCGCCAGCCAUAAUGCGCUGGCAUUAGUGUUGCUCUCGUCAGUCAUCACCCAUGGAGCACCUUCUCUGAUCUAAUCUCCGAUGGGAACGGUUCAGGCAGGAAAGCCAGAAAAACAGCAGCUUGGCUGAAGCUUUUAAGCAUUCAGAGUUUCAGACUCCAGAGCAAGUCAAAGCAAAUUAGGCUAUACUGAACCUGCCAUCACUGGCGCUCUGAUAUUUUUGUUUGCUCCCAUGAUUUUUUUCCUUCAAAUCAAAGAAGAGCGCUUUGAUACUCAGCAUCUGCUAACUGAACAUAUGCAACAAUGAACUGAACAGUUGCCCUUGCAGAGACUGAAAGACACCAGCUGAUUUAGGUCCCGUUUGGAUCAAAGGAAAAUCAAAGGAUUUUUGUAGGAAUACAAUCCAUAGGAAAGGAAACACGCUGCUACAUUUGGAACGGAGGAAACCGGCGAUCCGUUCCGCAGGAAAGGAAACUACGGGUGUGCAUUUUACAGGAAUCAAAAAAUCCACUCCGAGUCAAAGGAAAGAAAGGCUCGCUCUUUCUCCGUCUCUGUCUCUCACGUUCUCUCUCCGUCUGGGUCUGCUUUUUCUCUUCCUCAUGAAGCUCUCAUCCCCAACCAUGGCUCUACAGAACUAGCUCAUCUGCCUCAAGAUUGGACCUCAAGAUGACGAAUCCACGACCAAGUAGCUCAUCUGCUCAACGGAAUCGCCCUCCUCUGCCUUUUCCCCUUCCAUCGACACUAGAUUGUGGUUCUCAAUCUGGAGGGGAUGAAGUAAUUUCACAAGAAACAGGUAAAGAUCUCAGCUCUCCCUGCCUUAUCUCAGUGUAGGGAGGUAGGAUGGCGGCGGUGAAUCGUGUUUCCAGGCGUCGAGGUGGAGCUGGAGAGGGCUGGCGGGGGUGCCCCUGUGAUGGAGGGCGCUGUACGCGUCAGUGGCACGAUACGAGAGUAUCGCCACUUCUUGCCGCUUGACCGCCGGCGCUGCCCCGGCUCUGGGUCCUCGCUUGCUUCUUCACCCCAGGACCUUUGGCCCUGCCUUGGCCUAGAGCCGGGUCUGCACCCAACCCAAUGCCGGCAAAAGCAGUGUACUCCGUAGCUACAAUGAAAAAUAUUUGCGCAUACUCUCUUUUUAUUUGCACUGUAUCUAUCAGAGUAUCGCAACUUGUAGCGAACCUAUCCAGAGGAAUGGAAGCAUGCACGUUAAUUGUUUGCUUCUGCUAUUUGUCCUUGAGAAACUAAUUGUUGAAAACGACUUGUCC
rnacentral:lncRNA from 1 species